rnacentral:rRNA from 1 species
ACAACACCCGAAGUCGGUAGAGUAACCGUAAGGAGCUAGCCGCCGAAGGUGGGGUCAAUGAUUGGGGUGAAGUCGUAACAAGGUAGCCGUAUCGGAAGGUGCGGCUGGAUCACCUCCUUUCUAAGGA